rnacentral:rRNA from 1 species
GAUGAAGACCGGUGCUUGCACUGGUUGGAUUAGUGGCGAACGGGUGAGUAAUACGUGAGUAACCUGCCUUUGACUCUGGGAUAAGCCUUGGAAACGAGGUCUAAUACCGGAUAUGACACAGUUUCGCAUGAAAUCUGUGUGGAAAGGGUUUGUACUGGUUUUAGAUGGGCUCACGGCCUAUCAGCUUGUUGGUGAGGUAAUGGCUCACCAAGGCGACGACGGGUAGCCGGCCUGAGAGGGUGACCGGCCACACUGGGACUGAGACACGGCCCAGACUCCUACGGGAGGCAGCAGUGGGGAAUAUUGCACAAUGGGCGCAAGCCUGAUGCAGCGACGCCGCGUGAGGGAUGACGGCCUUCGGGUUGUAAACCUCUUUCAGCAGGGGAGAAGCGAAAGUGACGGUACCUGCAGAAGAAGCGCCGGCUAACUACGUGCCAGCGGGCCGCGGUAAUACGUAGGGCGCGAGCGUUGUCCGGAAUUAUUGGGCGUAAAGAGCUUGUAGGCGGUUUGUCGCGUCUGCUGUGAAAGCCCGGGGCUUAACUCCGGGUUUGCAGUGGGUACGGGCUAACUAGAGUGCAGUAGGGGAGACUGGAAUUCCUGGUGUAGCGGUGGAAUGCGCAGAUAUCAGGAGGAACACCGAUGGCGAAGGCAGGUCUCUGGGCUGUAACUGACGCUGAGAAGCGAAAGCAUGGGGAGCGAACAGGAUUAGAUACCCUGGUAGUCCAUGCCGUAAACGUUGGGCACUAGGUGUGGGGGACAUUCCACGUUUUCCGCGCCGUAGCUAACGCAUUAAGUGCCCCGCCUGGGGAGUACGGCCGCAAGGCUAAAACUCAAAGAAAUUGACGGGGGCCCGCACAAGCGGCGGAGCAUGCGGAUUAAUUCGAUGCAACGCGAAGAACCUUACCAAGGCUUGACAUAUACUGGACUCCCCUAGAGAUAGGGUUUCCCUUCGGGGCUGGUAUACAGGUGGUGCAUGGUUGUCGUCAGCUCGUGUCGUGAGAUGUUGGGUUAAGUCCCGCAACGAGCGCAACCCUCGUUCUAUGUUGCCAGCACGUGAUGGUGGGGACUCAUAGGAGACUGCCGGGGUCAACUCGGAGGAAGGUGGGGAUGACGUCAAAUCAUCAUGCCCCUUAUGUCUUGGGCUUCACGCAUGCUACAAUGGCCGGUACAAAGGGUUGCGAUACUGUGAGGUUGAGCUAAUCCCAAAAAGCCGGUCUCAGUUCGGAUUGGGGUCUGCAACUCGACCCCAUGAAGUCGGAGUCGCUAGUAAUCGCAGAUCAGCAACGCUGCGGUGAAUACGUUCCCGGGCCUUGUACACACCGCCCGUCAAGUCACGAAAGUUGGUAACACCCGAAGCCGAUGGCCUAACCUUU